rnacentral:rRNA from 1 species
CAGCCGCCACGGUAAUACGGAGGGUGCAAGCGUUAUCCGGAUUUAUUGGGUUUAAAGGGUCCGUAGGCGGAUCUGUAAGUCAGUGGUGAAAUCUCACAGCUUAACUGUGAAACUGCCAUUGAUACUGCAGGUCUUGAGUAAAUUUGAAGUGGCUGGAAUAAGUAGUGUAGCGGUGAAAUGCAUAGAUAUUACUUAGAACACCAAUUGCGAAGGCAGGUCACUAAGAUUUAACUGACGCUGAUGGACGAAAGCGUGGGGAGCGAACAGGAUUAGAUACCCCCGUAGUCCCUGUCUCUUAUAU